rnacentral:tRNA from 1 species
GGAGGCGUGGUGUAGCUGGCCCAACACGCAUGCCUGUCACGCAUGAGAUCGCGGGUU